UGCUAAAAAUUUCAUCUAUUUGUACUGUUAAAAACUGGCGUAGUUGAUGAAAUAACUAAACAGUGACAUGCUACAUGUACCUUAUGCUGAUGUAUAAAAAUUAAUUUUUAACAGCAAAAAUAAUAAAAUUUUAAACA
rfam:Gossypium arboreum cultivar AKA8401 contig_28443_1, whole genome shotgun sequence.